rnacentral:rRNA from 1 species
UACGAAGGGGGCUAGCGUUGUUCGGAAUCACUGGGCGUAAAGCGCACGUAGGCGGGUCGUUAAGUCGGGGGUGAAAUGCCAAGGCUCAACCUUGGAACUGCCUUCGAUACUGGCGAUCUCGAGUCCGGGAGAGGUGAGUGGAACUCCGAGUGUAGAGGUGAAAUUCGUAGAUAUUCGGAAGAACACCAGUGGCGAAGGCGACACACUGGCCCAUUACUGACGCUGAGGCUCGAAAGCGUGGGGAGCAAACAGG